rnacentral:rRNA from 1 species
UACGAAGGGGGCUAGCGUUGCUCGGAAUCACUGGGCGAAAGGGUGCGUAGGCGGGUCUUUAAGUCAGGGUGAAAUCCUGGGAGCUCAACUCCAGAACUGCCUUUGAUACUGAAGAUCUUGAGUUCGGGAGAGGUGAGUGGAACUGCGAGUGUAGAGGUGAAAUCGUAGAUAUUCGCAAGAACACCAGUGGCGAAGGCGGCUCACUGGCCCGAUACUGACGCUGAGGCACGAAAGCGUGGGGAGCAAACGG